rnacentral:tRNA from 3 species
UCCCAGGUCGUCUAAUGGCAGGACAAAUGGUUUUGGUCCAUUGAAUGAGGGUUCGAUUCCUUCCCUGGGAGCCG